rnacentral:rRNA from 1 species
UGCCAGCCGCCGCGGUAAUACAGAGAUGGCAACCGUUGUUCGGAAUUACUGGGCUUAAAGCGCACGUAGGCGGAUAGAUAAGUUGAUUGUGAAAUCCCACGGCUUACCCAUGGAACGGCAGUCAAAACUGUUUGUCUCGAGUGCGGGAGGGGAGAGUGGAACUCCUGGUGGAGCGGUGAAAUGCGUUGAUAUUAGGAGGAACGCCGGAGGCGAAAGCGACUCUCUGGCCCGCAACUGACGCUGAGGUGCGAAAGCUAGGGGAGCAAACGGGAUUAGAUA